AGUGAACGCUGGCGGUAGGCCUAACACAUGCAAGUCGAACGGCAGCACAGAGGAGCUUGCUCCUUGGGUGGCGAGUGGCGGACGGGUGAGGAAUACAUCGGAAUCUACUCUGUCGUGGGGGAUAACGUAGGGAAACUUACGCUAAUACCGCAUACGACCUACGGGCGAAAGCAGGGGAUCUUCGGACCUUGCGCGAUUGAAUGAGCCGAUGUCGGAUUAGCUAGUUGGCGGGGUAAAGGCCCACCAAGGCGACGAUCCGUAGCUGGUCUGAGAGGAUGAUCAGCCACACUGGAACUGAGACACGGUCCAGACUCCUACGGGAGGCAGCAGUGGGGAAUAUUGGACAAUGGGCGCAAGCCUGAUCCAGCCAUACCGCGUGGGUGAAGAAGGCCUUCGGGUUGUAAAGCCCUUUUGUCGGGAAAGAAAUCCAUCUGGUUAAUACCCGGGUGGGAUGACGGUACCCAAAGAAUAAGCACCGGCUAACUUCGUGCCAGCCGCCGCAGUAA
rnacentral:rRNA from 1 species